CGACGUCACCUUGCUCUUCGUUGGGUUAGAUUUCGAUAACUUCUCCUUGCUGAUUGAGACUGUUCUUUUUACAUUAAAGGAAGCAUCUCUUACUAGAUCCGCCCUCGUGAAGAAGUAUGGAAGAAGACCUAUAUAAAAAUUAGAGAUGAAAAAGAAGCUUGGGUUAAAACACAGACAGAGGAUACUUAUUUCAGAAGCUAUUGAAGAGUUCAAAACUCAAAAGGAGUCGACCGACAAAUGAUCAAGGUAAUCCAAUCAUGACAUCAGAGGAAGAAACUCUUUCCUGCUAGCUGGAUGUAGUUGGGGGCGUGUAUAAGGGAAGGGCAUACCGCCUUUUUUCUGAGAAGAACUUUCAUCGUCUUUAGGGUGGAUUGCAAGGUAUGGGGAGUUCUGCCACCAUGUCAAAUGAGCAGCUUGAGGAGAUGCGACAGGAAGUUCGGGAGCUUGCUAGGAAGUACGAGGAGGAACGAAAAAGAAGGAUGGAGGAGGAGCG